rnacentral:lncRNA from 10 species
GCUGGAGCUCAGGCUCUGCAGGUGGGAAUAUUCAAAGACGAAAUGUAGCCAGGAUCCAGGAGUCAGAGAAGGAAAGUCCAGAGUCUAGGGUAAAUGUCGACACAGAAGUUUAUCAUCACAAUAAAGAGAUGAGAUGGAAGCAGAGCCAGAAAUUAUGGAACUCAAAGAAGGUCUUGUCUUUAAUUUUGAAUUAUUUUCUUCCCUUAAAGUGAAGGAAGAAUAAUCUGAGCUUGAAAUAAAGACUUAGAAUAUAGAUCACCGCCUGCAACCUUCUCACUCAAAAUUAGAAGACAUUACUGGAUAGUUUCAAGGGAAGUUAUUAACUUGAGAAAAACCCAGAAAUAAGCCAUGGAAGAUGUGCCUGCUUCCCCUUCACCUUCCACUACGAUUGAAAAUUUCCUGAGACCUCCUCAGAAGCCGAGCAGGUGCCAGCUUCAUGCUUCCUUUACAGCCUGUGGAAGCGUGAGCCAAUUAAACCUCUUCUCUUUAUAAAUUACCCAGUCUCAUGUAUUUCUUUAUA